GACGAACGCUGGCGGCGUGCCUAAUACAUGCAAGUCGAACGCAGUGGGGACGGUUGAUUAACACGUGGGUAACCUCCCAUCAGAGGGGAUAACACUUGGAAACAGGUGCUAAACCUAUACUGAUGGAUGGACCCGCGGUGCAUUCGCUAGUGGUUGGGGUAACGGCUCACCAAGUCCACGAUGCCUAGCCGGCCUGAGAGGUGGAUCGGCCACACGGGGACUGAGACACGGCCCAGAGUCCUACGGGAGGCAGCAGUAGGGAAUCUUCGGCAAUGGACGAAAGUCUGACCGAGCAACGCCGCGUGAGUGAAGAAGGUUUUCGGAUCGUAAAACUCUGUUGUUAGAGAAGCGGUAUCUAACCAGAAAGCAACGGCUAACUACGUGCCAGCCGCCGCGGUAAUUC
rnacentral:rRNA from 1 species